rnacentral:rRNA from 1 species
GGUUAAGCGACUAAGCGUACACGGUGGAUGCCCUGGCAGUCAGAGGCGAUGAAGGACGUGCUAAUCUGCGAAAAGCGUCGGUAAGGUGAUAUGAACCGUUAUAGCCGGCGAUGUCCGAAUGGGGAAACCCAGUGCAAUUCGUUGCACUAUCGUUAACUGAAUACAUAGGUUAACGAGGCGAACCGGGGGAACUGAAACAUCUAAGUACCCCGAGGAAAAGAAAUCAACCGAGAUUCCCCCAGUAGCGGCGAGCGAACGGGGAGCAGCCCAGAGUCUGAAUCAGCUUGUGUGUUAGUGGAACGGUCUGGAAAGUCCGACGGUACAGGGUGAUAGUCCCGUACACCAAAAUGCACAGGUUGUGAACUCGAAGAGUAGGGCGGGACACGUGGUAUCCUGUCUGAAUAUGGGGGGACCAUCCUCCAAGGCUAAAUACUCCUGACUGACCGAUAGUGAACCAGUACCGUGAGGGAAAGGCGAAAAGAACCCCGGCGAGGGGAGUGAAAAAGAACCUGAAACCGUGUACGUACAAGCAGUGGGAGCACCUUCGGGUGUGACUGCGUACCUUUUGUAUAAUGGGUCAGCGACUUAUAUUCUGUAGCAAGGUUAACCGUAUAGGGGAGCCGCAGGGAAACCGAGUCUUAACUGGGCGUUAAGUUGCAGGGUAUAGACCCGAAACCCGGUGAUCUAGCCAUGGGCAGGUUGAAGGUUGGGUAACACUAACUGGAGGACCGAACCGACUAAUGUUGAAAAAUUAGCGGAUGACUUGUGGCUGGGGGUGAAAGGCCAAUCAAACCGGGAGAUAGCUGGUUCUCCCCGAAAGCUAUUUAGGUAGCGCCUCGUGAAUUCAUCUUCGGGGGUAGAGCACUGUUUCGGCUAGGGGGUCAUCCCGACUUACCAACCCGAUGCAAACUACGAAUACCGAAGAAUGUUAUCACGGGAGACACACGGCGGGUGCUAACGUCCGUCGUGAAGAGGGAAACAACCCAGACCGCCAGCUAAGGUCCCAAAGUCAUGGUUAAGUGGGAAACGAUGUGGGAAGGCACAGACAGCCAGGAUGUUGGCUUAGAAGCAGCCAUCAUUUAAAGAAAGCGUAAUAGCUCACUGGUCGAGUCGGCCUGCGCGGAAGAUGUAACGGGGCUAAACCAUGCACCGAAGCUGCGGCAGCGACACUAUGUGUUGUUGGGUAGGGGAGCGUUCUGUAAGCCUGCGAAGGUGACCUGUGAGGGUUGCUGGAGGUAUCAGAAGUGCGAAUGCUGACAUAAGUAACGAUAAAGCGGGUGAAAAGCCCGCUCGCCGGAAGACCAAGGGUUCCUGUCCAACGUUAAUCGGGGCAGGGUGAGUCGACCCCUAAGGCGAGGCCGAAAGGCGUAGUCGAUGGGAAACAGGUUAAUAUUCCUGUACUUGGUGUUACUGCGAAGGGGGGACGGAGAAGGCUAUGUUAGCCGGGCGACGGUUGUCCCGGUUUAAGCAUGUAGGCUGGUUAUCCAGGCAAAUCCGGAUAAUCAAGGCUGAGGUGUGAUGACGAAGCACUACGGUGCUGAAGUAACAAAUGCCCUGCUUCCAGGAAAAGCCUCUAAGCAUCAGGUAACAUCAAAUCGUACCCCAAACCGACACAGGUGGUCAGGUAGAGAAUACCAAGGCGCUUGAGAGAACUCGGGUGAAGGAACUAGGCAAAAUGGUGCCGUAACUUCGGGAGAAGGCACGCUGGUGUGUAGGUGAAGCCCCUGCGGGUGGAGCUGAGACCAGUCGAAGAUACCAGCUGGCUGCAACUGUUUAUUAAAAACACAGCACUGUGCAAACACGAAAGUGGACGUAUACGGUGUGACGCCUGCCCGGUGCCGGAAGGUUAAUUGAUGGGGUUAUCCGUAAGGAGAAGCUCUUGAUCGAAGCCCCGGUAAACGGCGGCCGUAACUAUAACGGUCCUAAGGUAGCGAAAUUCCUUGUCGGGUAAGUUCCGACCUGCACGAAUGGCGUAAUGAUGGCCAGGCUGUCUCCACCCGAGACUCAGUGAAAUUGAACUCGCUGUGAAGAUGCAGUGUACCCGCGGCAAGACGGAAAGACCCCGUGAACCUUUACUAUAGCUUGACACUGAACAUUGAGCCUUGAUGUGUAGGAUAGGUGGGAGGCUUUGAAGCGUGGACGCCAGUCUGCGUGGAGCCAACCUUGAAAUACCACCCUUUAAUGUUUGAUGUUCUAACGUUGGCCCCUGACCGGGGUUGCGGACAGUGUCUGGUGGGUAGUUUGACUGGGGCGGUCUCCUCCCAAAGCGUAACGGAGGAGCACGAAGGUUAGCUAAUCCUGGUCGGACAUCAGGAGGUUAGUGCAAUGGCAUAAGCUAGCUUGACUGCGAGCGUGACGGCGCGAGCAGGUGCGAAAGCAGGUCAUAGUGAUCCGGUGGUUCUGAAUGGAAGGGCCAUCGCUCAACGGAUAAAAGGUACUCCGGGGAUAACAGGCUGAUACCGCCCAAGAGUUCAUAUCGACGGCGGUGUUUGGCACCUCGAUGUCGGCUCAUCACAUCCUGGGGCUGAAGUAGGUCCCAAGGGUAUGGCUGUUCGCCAUUUAAAGUGGUACGCGAGCUGGGUUUAGAACGUCGUGAGACAGUUCGGUCCCUAUCUGCCGUGGGCGCUGGAGAAUUGAGGGGGGCUGCUCCUAGUACGAGAGGACCGGAGUGGACGCAUCACUGGUGUUCGGGUUGUCAUGCCAAUGGCACUGCCCGGUAGCUAAAUGCGGAAGAGAUAAGUGCUGAAAGCAUCUAAGCACGAAACUUGCCCCGAGAUGAGUUCUCCCUGAGACUUUAAGUCUCCUGAAGGAACGUUAAAGACGAUGACGUUGAUAGGCCGGGUGUGUAAGCGCAGCGAUGCGUUGAGCUAACCGGUACUAAUGAACCGUGAGGCUUAACCUU